AAAGAACAAAGUUUUGUCCAUCUUUGUUCAUCAUAGCUGAAAGUUAAAGAAGAGAAAGGAGAGGAGAAAGCUCUUGAAUGUUUGGUCACUUGGGGAAGAAAAUUGAAGGCGGUUCGUGUGUGGAUCUGGUCAGCAUAUCGUCGCAAAUAGGAAAUCCCCAACCAUAGUGGGCUUGGAGCUGUGAGGGAAUUCGGAGUGGCCACCCGUUCUGAAAGUUUGAUUUUCUUCUGGUGAACUAGACAUCCUUUUAAUUACGUUUGAGGUUUUGGGCUUUUAAAUGUAAUAAGGCCGCUUAUUUAUUUUUGAUGGUUUUUAAUAUGUAUUACUAAGAUAAGUAUUACUUAUAUUUAA